CGCGUAGGCGGUCAUGCAAGUCAGGUGUGAAAUCCCCAGGCUUAACCUGGGAACUGCGCUUGAAACUGCAUAGCUUGAGGCCGGGAGAGGAAAGUGGAAUUCCUGGUGUAGCGGCGAAAUGCGUAGAUAUCAGGAGGAACACCGGUGGCGAAGGCGGCUUUCUGGACCGGUUCUGACGCUGAAGCGCGAAAGCGUGGGGAGCAAACG
rnacentral:rRNA from 1 species